GACGAACGCUGGCGGCGUGCCUAAUACAUGCAAGUAGAACGCAGUUGCGAACGGGUGAGUAACGCGUAGGUAACUGCCUCAUAGCGGGGGAAAACUAUUGGAAACGAUAGCUAAUACCGCAUACUGUGAGAUGGACCUGCGUUGUAUUAGCGAGUUGGUGAGGUAAAGGCUCACCAAGGCGACGAUACAUAGCCGGCCUGAGAGGGUGGUCCGUCCAACUGGGAUCGGGACACGGGUCAAGCUUCUACCGGAGGCAGUAGUAGGGAAUCUUUGGAAAUUGGCGGAAGUCUGGCCGAGCAAAGCCGCGGGAGUGGAGAAGGGUUUUGGGUCGGAAAGCUAUGUUGUGCGAGAAGCGGUAACGAACCAGAAAGGGACGGCUAACUACGUGCCAGCAGCCGCGGUAAUUC
rnacentral:rRNA from 1 species